AACGAACGCUGGCGGCAUGCCUAACACAUGCAAGUCGAACGAACCCUUCGGGGUGAGUGGCGCACGGGUGCGUAACACGUGGGAACCUGCCCUUAGGUUCGGAAUAACACAGAGAAAUUUGUGCUAAUACCGGAUAAUGUCUUUGGACCAAAGAUUUAUCGCCUUUGGAUGGGCCCGCGUAGGAUUAGCUAGUUGGUGAGGUAAAGGCUCACCAAGGCGACGAUCCUUAGCUGGUCUUAGAGGAUGAUCAGCCACACUGGGACUGAGACACGGCCCAGACUCCUACGGGAGGCAGCAGUGGGGAAUAUUGGACAAUGGGCGAAAGCCUGAUCCAGCAAUGCCGCGUGAGUGAUGAAGGCCUUAGGGUUGUAAAGCUCUUUUACCUGGGAUGAUAAUGACAGUACCAGGAGAAUAAGCCCCGGCUAACUCCGUGCCAGCAGCCGCCGUAACAC
rnacentral:rRNA from 1 species